rnacentral:rRNA from 1 species
AUUGAACGCUGGCGGCAGGCUUAACACAUGCAAGUCGAGCGGAGUGAUGGUGCUUGCACUAUCACUUAGCGGCGGACGGGUGAGUAAUGCUUAGGAAUCUGCCUAUUAGUGGGGGACAACAUCUCGAAAGGGAUGCUAAUACCGCAUACGUCCUACGGGAGAAAGCAGGGGAUCACUUGUGACCUUGCGCUAAUAGAUGAGCCUAAGUCGGAUUAGCUAGUUGGUGGGGUAAAGGCCUACCAAGGCGACGAUCUGUAGCGGGUCUGAGAGGAUGAUCGGCCACACUGGGACUGAGACACGGCCCAGACUCCUACGGGAGGCAGCAGUGGGGAAUAUUGGACAAUGGGGGGAACCCUGAUCCAGCCAGGCCGCGUGUGUGAAGAAGGCCUUAUGGUUGUAAAGCACGUUAAGCGAGGAGGAGGCUCUUUUGGUUAAUACCCAAGAUGAGUGGACGUUACUCGCAGAAUAAGCACCGGCUAACUCUGUGCCAGCCGCCGCUGUAAGAC